CCCUUCCUAAUCCUACCAAACACAGACAAUUGCCUUGUGUGGAUGCAGCUCUGGUUUGGCUUGCUUUUCUGUCAUUUUAUCAUCUACUUCAUAUUGACAUAGAUGCAGUUUUUCAUUGCCAGUGAUGUGGUAAAGAAAUCUGUGUGUACAAGUAACCAGCUGUUGAGCGAGCAAAUUGGUGAUAAGAGAGCACUGGAAUUUGUCUCGUUCAGAGUGUGUGGUACCCAUCUACAGAGUUUUGGAGCCUUACUCUGAGUGAAGGUGAAGGGUGAUGUUAACAUGAGAUCAUCCCAUAUGCUGGGCCACUUCACUAGUGAAUUGGUAUGGAUCCUUGUGGAUGAACUUAUUCGAUUAACCUUCAUUGAAGUGAGCAAGUCAGCUGCAAUGUAGAGUACUUGAGAUCAAAUUUCUCCUCCUUGGAACA